rnacentral:rRNA from 1 species
UACGUAGGGGGCUAGCGUUGUCCGGAAUCAUUGGGCGUAAAGCGCGUGUAGGCGGUUCGGUAAGUCCGCUGUGAAAGUCGGGGGCUCAACCCUCGAAAGCCGGUGGAUACUGUCGGGCUAGAGUACGGAAGAGGCGAGUGGAAUUCCUGGUGUAGCGGUGAAAUGCGCAGAUAUCAGGAGGAACACCAGCGGCGAAAGGCGGCGCUCUGGGCCGGAACUGACGCUGAGGAGCGAAAGCGUGGGUAGCAAACAGG